rnacentral:rRNA from 1 species
AAUGAACGCUGGCGGCGUGCUUAACACAUGCAAGUCGAACGAGAAAGGGAUUGCUUGCAGUCCCGAGUAGAGUGGCGCACGGGUGAGUAACACGUAGAUAAUCUGCCUUCAAGCCUGGGAUAACUAUUCGAAAGGGUAGCUAAUACCGGAUAAAGUCGAUUUACACAAGUAGAUUGAUGAAAGAUUGCCUCUUCUUGAAAGCAAUUGUUUGGAGAUGAGUUUGCGUACCAUUAGCUUGUUGGUGGGGUAAAGGCCUACCAAGGCAACGAUGGUUAGCUGGUCUGAGAGGAUGAUCAGCCACACUGGAACUGGAACACGGUCCAGACUCCUACGGGAGGCAGCAGUGAGGAAUUUUGCGCAAUGGGGGCAACCCUGACGCAGCAACGCCGCGUGAGUGAAGAAGGCCUUUGGGUCGUAAAGCUCUGUCAACAGGGAAGAAGUUACAAUUGUUUAACAGAUGAUUGUAUUGACGGUACCUGUGGAGGAAGC